AAAGGACCCUAUAUAUUAAUUUAGAUACUUCUACAUUAUUCAAACCUUUUACGAUGAAUUUAUAUUGAGAGAAUUUGUGUGGGGGGUGUGUGUGUGUGUGUGUAUAAAUGACUCUGGUUCUUCAGGGUAAAAGCUACGUGUAAAUUUGUUGGUCCAGAAAAUUUUUGUGUGUGGGGCAGCUAGGCUAAUAGAUCCUGAUUUUAUUAACCACAGCAAGCACAUAAUUCAGGGAAGGCCAAAGAAGUUUUCUGUUUGUGCUUCAACUGCACAUUCCUACCUGCUGUGAAAUAAACCCAGCCUUCCUGCCGGGGUCUGUUGAUUCAGCUUUGCCAUCUGGAGCAAUCUAGCAUUCACAGUCUGAAUGAAAUAAUGCUGCUUUGGUCAGGGGCUCUGCUGGGAGCAAAGUUUGUGGUGGAUGGUGUUAAUUACAUUCUUUCCAUAAAAUAGCAGGGCUCUAAGCACGGAACUGGGUGGAAACGGUUGGGUUGAGCACAUGUGGCAGCCAAGAUCCAGGAUAUAGGUAAUUCCUUUGGAUUUCAUCUGUUAUCUCCCAUGGCAGAGGGGAGAAUCCAGAUUCAGGUCAGAAGCUGAAAGGUUUGUGGGCAAGAACACCAGGCAGGCAAGGUUAUAAAGUCUGGGACGUGGCUGCCUCGUUGUUCACAAGUUCUGUUGCUUCUGAGAACAUUCUGUACCAUGUGCUCCACUGGCUAAGUACAAAUUCCAAAGCCAUUUUUUAUUGUCGUUUAGAAUCUCAUUUUCAGAGUAGGUAGAUAAAUAAGCUGAUAGUUAAACAUUUGUAAACUAAUGCAUUCCAACAGAAUCCACCCAUUGACCAUGGGACCAAAGGACAUUACAGUGCUUUAGAGUCAGUGCAAAGAGCAGCCUCUUCAGGUCUACUGGAAAAUUCAUUCAUUUCUUCAUUCAUUCAUUUUGUUCAAGAAAUGACCUACUGAGUGCCUUCAAUGUGCCGGCCUCAUGCAGGAAGUACGCACUGAUGAAAACAGAGAAGUUCCCGCCCUUGUAGAGUUUACAUUCUGGUGAAGUUGACAGAUAAUGAACAGACAAGAAAGAAAUCGUUGCAGAUUAUGAUAGUGCUAAGAAGGGCAUGAACACAGUGACGUGAUGGAGGAGAGUGAGUGGCAGCGAGGGGUUCUUCAUACAAGGCCUUCCUGAAGGCUGCAAGGCAGCAGUAGAAGUUUCAAGAAGAACCCUUCCCUGAGCCUCAGGAGAUCCGAGUCAACAUGGUUACCAGUUAUUGAAUGGCUGCAACCAUGAGACUGACUGACCAAAACUGAGGACCUGGACUUCAGAGCCCCUGCUUUGACCAAGAGACCCUCCAGCUGAGAGCUUGGAUUUACAAGAAUGUUAGAUGUGAAUACUAGAACACAUGAGCCCAAUUGCAUUUCUUCGACUGUCUAGUGUGUGAGCCGGUUGCUUUUAACAACCCCUGAGUCAGUCUAGUGAAGAGAACCUCUUAGCCAAGGUUAAUUAUCAUCACCGAAAUCACCAUGGCGUAAGUCUUAUGCUUUCAAUAAGGAAUUGGUGGUGAUUCCUGAAGGCAGAGAUCCCAGCCAGCUGAGACUGGGACUGAUCAGAAGCAUCCAGAGUAGCCACUCAGGAGUGGAGAAGCCUCUUCCUGUUUAGUGUCACUGGGCAAGCACCAAUUUGAGAAAACAACUUUUGCUUCUCACGCAGAAGACCCUUCUUUGAAGAAAUGAAUGUCACCCGAGAAGAGAUUUCCUCAUCCUGACGUGUGUGUGGCGGAGGGGGGGGGUCUCACCCACAGUAUCUGACUUCCAUCCUGAUUAUUUUACAAUGAGUCUCAUCAGUCAAUAACCUCUCUGCUUGCACCCAAAGUGUUUCAGUGCCUUGUUCUUAAACACUGACUGAUGGCCAACAAUCAGCAGAUGUUCUGGGAAGACUUCAACACAAAAGAGAGAUCAAACAUUCAAACAGAAAAGAAGAGUCUUAGAAAUUCAGAUCAUUUAGGGAAUGGCUUUAUCUUUCUACUUCCUUCCAUUGACUGAAUCCCUCUAACUGGUAUCCCUGGCCCAGUCCUAAUAAAUGGAU